rnacentral:rRNA from 1 species
AUUGAACGCUGGCGGCAGGCCUAACACAUGCAAGUCGAGCGGCAGCGGGAAAGUAGCUUGCUACUUUUGCCGGCGAGCGGCGGACGGGUGAGUAAUGCCUGGGAAAUUGCCCAGUCGAGGGGGAUAACAGUUGGAAACGACUGCUAAUACCGCAUACGCCCUACGGGGGAAAGCAGGGGACCUUCGGGCCUUGCGCGAUUGGAUAUGCCCAGGUGGGAUUAGCUAGUUGGUGAGGUAAUGGCUCACCAAGGCGACGAUCCCUAGCUGGUCUGUGAGGAUGAUCAGCCACACUGGAACUGAGACACGGUCCAGACUCCUACGGGAGGCAGCAGUGGGGAAUAUUGCACAAUGGGGGAAACCCUGAUGCAGCCAUGCCGCGUGUGAAGAAGGCCUUCGGGUUGUAAAGCACUUACAGCGAGGAGGAAAGGUUGAUGCCUAAUACGUAUCAACUGUGACGUUACUCGCAGAAGAAGCACCGGCUAACUCCGUGCCAGCCGCCGCGGUAACAC